rnacentral:rRNA from 1 species
AUUGAACGCUGGCGGCAUGCUUUACACAUGCAAGUCGAACGGCAGCGGGGAGGAGCUUGCUUCUCUGCCGGCGAGUGGCGAACGGGUGAGUAAUACAUCGGAACGUGUCGAGAAGAGGGGGAUAACCACCCGAAAGGGUGGCUAAUACCGCAUAAAUUCUGAGGAAGAAAGCUGGGGACCUAGGAAUAGGCCUAGCGCUUUUUGAGCGGCCGAUGUCGGAUUAGCUAGUUGGUGAGGUAAAGGCUCACCAAGGCGAAGAUCUGUAGCGGGUCUGAGAGGAUGAUCCGCCACACUGGGACUGAGACACGGCCCAGACUCCUACGGGAGGCAGCAGUGGGGAAUUGUGGACAAUGGGGGCAACCCUGAUCCAGCCAUGCCGCGUGUAUGAAGAAGGCCUUAGGUUUGUAAAGUACUUUUGUUAGGGAAGAAAAGUCAGCUGUGAAUAAUGGCUGAUACUGACGGUACCUAAAGAAUAAGCACCGGCUAACUACGUG